AGCAGCCGCGGUAAUUCCAGCUCCAAUAGCGUAUAUUAAAGUUGUUGCAGUUAAAAAGCUCGUAGUUGAAUUUCGGGAUCAGUUGAUCGGUCGUGCCUCGGUACGUACUGGUCAAAUUGAUUCCUACCUUCUGACGAACCACGAUGUCAUUAAUUUGGUGUCGCGGGAAAUCAGGACUGUUACUUUGAAAAAAUUAGAGUGUUUAAAGCAGGCUCGCGCUUGAAUACAUUAGCAUGGAAUAAUGAAAUAGGACGUUUGAUUCUAUUUUGUUGGUUUCUAGGAUCGACGUAAUGAUUAAUAGGGAUAGUUGGGGGCAUUAGUAUUCAAUUGUCAGAGGUGAAAUUCUUGGAUUUAUUGAAGACUAACUACUGCGAAAGCAUUUGCCAAGGAUGUUUUCAUUAAUCAAGAACGAAAGUUAGGGGAUCGAAGACGAUCAGAUACCGUCGUAGUCUUAACCAUAAACUAUGCCGACUAGGGAUCGGAUGAUGUUAAUUUUUAAUGACUCAUUCGGCG
rnacentral:rRNA from 1 species